UGGGGAAUAUUGCACAAUGGAGGGAACUCUGAUGCAGCGACGCCGCGUGAACGAAGAAGGCUUUCGAGUCGUAAAGUUCUUCUAUAUGGGAAGAUAAUGACGGUACCAUAAGAAAAAGCCCCGGCUAACUACGUGCCAGCAGCCGCGGUAAUACGUAGGGGGCUAGCGUUGUCCGGAAUCACUGGGCGUAAAGGGUUCGCAGGCGGAAAUGCAAGUCAGGUGUAAAAGGCAGUAGCUUAACUACUGUAAGCAUUUGAAACUGCAUAUCUGGAGAAGAGUAGAGGUAAGAGGAAUUUUUGGUGUAGCGGUGAAAUGCGUAAAUAUUAAAAAGAAUACCGGUGGCGAAGGCGACUUACUGGGCUCAUUCUGACGCUGAGGGACGAAAGCGUGGGUAGCAAACAGG
rnacentral:rRNA from 1 species